GAAAUCAACAUUUUGCCCAAAUCUGACCCAAAGAUCCCCACAAACUGGACAAAUUGCGACGUGGGCGGUUCCGGCUGAUGCCAGCCAGGCAGUAUGGAAUCUAACAACUCCCGACGCAGCCUCAGCAUCAUGUAGCCGGUCUCUUCCGCUGGUAAAUCCGAACUUCAAUUUCUGACAAGCUGCAGCAGAGACACUUUCUGUGUGAACGUUGAUGCUCUUUUAACGGCUCCUGUUUUGUCCAAGCCCAAGGAAGUUUUGUCUAAAAGGUUUGGUAAUGUGCUUUAUGUUCCUGUUCACCC